rnacentral:sRNA from 2 species
AUCUAUGUUAAAGGGGAGUAGCUGCCCGAAAGGGUUGAUAAAGUCAACAUACUGGCCUUUGGCCUGGCUUUAUCGGCGUAAUGCAAGCGAGACCUUUAACACAAUGCUCUGGCAUUGUGUUAAAGGUCUUUUUUAUUUUGUAAAAAAUAAUGAC